rnacentral:rRNA from 1 species
GACGAACGCUUUUGGCGUGCUUAACACAUGCAAGUCGAACGGAAAGGCCCUGCUUUUGUGGGGUGCUCGAGUGGCGAACGGGUGGGUAACACGUGAGUAACCUGCCCUUGACUUUGGGAUAACUUCAGGAAACUGGGGCUAAUACCGGAUAGGAGCUCCUGCUGCAUGGUGGGGGUUGGAAAGUUUCGGCGGUUGGGGAUGGACUCGCGGCUUAUCAGCUUGUUGGUGGGGUAGUGGCUUACCAAGGCUUUGACGGGUAGCCGGCCUGAGAGGGUGACCGGCCACAUUGGGACUGAGAUACGGCCCAGACCCCUACGGGAGGCAGCAGUGGGGAAUAUUGCACAAUGGGCGGAAGCCUGAUGCAGCAACGCCGCGUGCGGGAUGACGGCCUUCGGGUUGUAAACCGCUUUCGCCUGUGACGAAGCGUGAGUGACGGUAAUGGGUAAAGAAGCACCGGCUAACUACGUGCCAGCAGCCGCGGUGAUACGUAGGGUGCGAGCGUUGUCCGGAUUUAUUGGGCGUAAAGGGCUCGUAGGUGGUUGAUCGCGUCGGAAGUGUAAUCUUGGGGCUUAACCCUGAGCGUGCUUUCGAUACGGGUUGACUUGAGGAAGGUAGGGGAGAAUGGAAUUCCUGGUGGAGCGGUGGAAUGCGCGGAUAUCAGGAGGAACACCAGUGGCGAAGGCGGUUCUCUGGGCCUUUCCUGACGCUGAGGAGCGAAAGCGUGGGGAGCGAACAGGCUUAGAUACCCUGGUAGUCCACGCUGUAAACGGUGGGUACUAGGUGUGGGGUCCAUUCCACGGGUUCCGUGCCGUAGCUAACGCUUUAAGUACCCCGCCUGGGGAGUACGGCCGCAAGGCUAAAACUCAAAGGAAUUGACGGGGCCCCGCACAAGCGGCGGAGCAUGCGGAUUAAUUCGAUGCAACGCGUAGAACCUUACCUGGGUUUGACAUGGAUCGGGAGCGCUCAGAGAUGGGUGUGCCUCUUUUGGGGUCGGUUCACAGGUGGUGCAUGGCUGUCGUCAGCUCGUGUCGUGAGAUGUUGGGUUAAGUCCCGCAACGAGCGCAACCCUUGUUCACUGUUGCCAGCACGUUAUGGUGGGGACUCAGUGGAGACCGCCGGGGUCAACUCGGAGGAAGGUGGGGAUGACGUCAAGUCAUCAUGCCCCUUAUGUCCAGGGCUUCACGCAUGCUACAAUGGCUGGUACAGAGAGUGGCGAGCCUGUGAGGGUGAGCGAAUCUCGGAAAGCCGGUCUCAGUUCGGAUUGGGGUCUGCAACUCGACCUCAUGAAGUCGGAGUCGCUAGUAAUCGCAGAUCAGCAACGCUGCGGUGAAUACGUUCCCGGGGCU